rfam:Serinicoccus sp. CNJ-927 NODE_1_length_409679_cov_263.259_ID_227, whole genome shotgun sequence.
CCGGUUCACGGCCGCGCAGCCGCGCGGGCGACCCGG